UGUCUCAUAACUCAGAAAUACUAUUACAUCUAAAGAACAGAACAGGGUGCAUAGUGGCAAGGCCAUUUUUACACAGAUGACAUCCUCCUCUAGCCCUUUAGUUGUCCUUCCAACCUCUCUAUAGAGUCAAUAUCAUAAACCGCUGCCUUUUAUCAGGAUGUGUCCCCAGCUACUUCAAACAAGCCAUUAUCCAACCCCUACUCAAGAAACCAAACCUGGACUCCUCCCAUCCAAAAAAACAUCUCUAAACUACCUUUCCUCUCCUAAAUUGUGGAAAGGGCCGUUGAAAAGCACCUGACUAAAGUAUGAGUCCGGCUUCUGCAAACUACAGUCCUCUGUAACAGCUCCUUAAAGUCUCAAAUUACAUUUUAAUGGCUGCAGAUGCUGGAUGUCAGUUUUGGUGUUAUUGGACCUUAACGCAGGAUUUGAUACAGUUGACCUGAUCCACAGGCUAAAUCAAAUGUCUAUUAUUUAUUUGACAAUACUGUUUUAUCCAUGCCUCCGUCGUUAUUCUUAGUAUUAUUAUGGUGACUCACCGAGCACUAACCAGGGUUAGUUUGGCUGAGAAUAUUUUCAUGUGUUUACCGAGUGUAGCAGAUUAACCAAUUUUUUUUAACCUUUUUACAAGUUUUUAAUCUUUUCAAUAGUCAGUUUUCUCUCCCUGUUUAUAUUGGUGGAAUCAGGUGGAAUAAAAAUAGCAGUCAAAUGUCGAUUGCUGAUUUUUUUAAUAGCUGAAGCCAAAUGUCGAAGAGACAAAAUGCAAAACAAAUUUUGCAUUUUUCACAGUUGAUGUUGAGACCUUGUGGAAGUGCAACAUUAAAGCCAGACUGAGGCUGGUGUUCUGCUUCCGCUCAGUUAAACUGUGUCAAAAAUGGUUAGAGUGUGGUGCUGAUGAUGCCAAAGUCAUGGUUCAACCUCCAUACUGGCCAGUAAUCUGCAUAAAAGGGUAUCCCAAUGCUUUUGUCAUAUGUUUUGUUGUUAUAAAAUAAUAUCACAUGAGAAAAAUAUUCCUCCAGUCCCUGUAAAAUCUCACGUCCCCAGACUUUUAAGUGCAAGGCCAAAGAAAAUCAUCUUGUCUAAAAACACAAUGCAAGAGGACUUGAAUUAUAUCACUGUUGUGGAAGGCUACCAGAGAAAUGAAUUUAUUUAACCUUCUAAUCAAUAAAUCUGCUUCCUGCCUCACAUCACCAAAUGGAGGGUGAUUAGACCCACCUUGCUGCAGUACAGUUUGGUGACCACUGGCCAGUAUGGGGGUUGAACCCAUGACCUUACCCAUACUAGUCUGAGGUGUUACUAGUCUGUGGAAACAGGAAGUUUCCUUUUAAUUCUAAUCUGAAUUUAAUAGGAAUGAUGUCUGAAAUAGGACAUUUUCAAAGGCUUUUAUUCUGAAAUCCCACAUCAGAACAUCCUGCAUUUGACUGAACGAAACUGGGAGGUGGUCUAUUAUUUGCUCAUUCUAGUGACUCUCCAUUCAUGAUACAAUGACAGGACGUCUGACGCAGCGCAGCCCGCGUGGAGGAGACCCCGGCACGCUUCCGACCCAUUACGGAGAAGGUGCAUGGCUCUUUUUCACUGUCAAUUUUGGCUGCGCCGAGUAACGCCCUGGACGGAUCUUCUGGACUGGGACCAGAUCCGUGGGGGCUCUGCAGUGACGGCGGUGAGGAGCAGUGUGCCUGGGCAGCAGUUUGACCGUGCAGCAGUGUUUUCUGCCGGGCUCCGUGUCCACAGCUCAGGUACACGCACUCUGGCAGAGAGCUGCCCGGGCACACUGCUCCUCAACACCGCAUGCGCGCUCCUGAAGGAGCAACCUGGAGAUCGGUCGUAUGAGCUGCUGUUGACGCCAUUUGAGCUUCCAGCGUGUAUUCGAUCACCUCUGGUGUUACGCGUGGCACAGGAACAACUCCCAAAUCUCUACACAGAACACACGUAUGGACACAAGAGUUCUUUGUUAAAUGUUGGCGCAGAGCCUCGACAACAGCUUCCGGUAAUACCUGGUGACGUCACGGCGCGCACGCACUAUAUAUCUGGCGGUUCAUCUGCGUUCACUGUCAGCGAGACGCCAACGAAGUGACUUUGUGAGAGACAUUCCAUGGAUCACUGAGUGGUUGUGGGAGAGAGUUGUUUUCUCGAGGACUCAGAGCUUUUCGAACGAUUCACUCUUCAUCUGGACGCGAGAAGAUACCUAAGCCGAGUCCUGUUAACCAACUGAAUUCAGUAAUGCAUGCAGUUUCUCAUGAAAUCUUGAGAGACCAUGGUGGGUGGAUGUCAGACCCUCUAGGGGGUUCCGGGGGCAUGGCCCCACCGGAAGAAAAUGUCUGACUCUGAGCGCCUCUGCUGCAGACGAGCAGUGAGAGCUGGCCACGUCCACUGCACCGGACAUGCUUCGACACAGAAAGUGACGCACAGAUCUGAUCUCUCCUCAGUAUGCUGGUAAAAAUGCAUAGCUGUCCAAUCUGCCAUUGCUACUACAGCGCUCUGCAAAAGCAUCUGAAGAAUCUCCAUCGUGUUGACAAUGGAGAAGAGAGGCGGAUUCUCCUGAACCUGGCAGCGG